GCUGAAUUAAAGCAAAUGUUGUAGCUUUGGGUAAUUUGUUAAAGCUUUAGUGAGACGUAAAAUCAUAUUUUUUGUUUCUUGUAUUAUCAAUACCUUACAAAAAAUGUCGGUUUUAAUAGAACGACUACUGUAGAGCGAACCAACGAAACAUCUUCUGAAUACAGUUUGUAUAAAAUCCACCAAUGCCAUUACAUAUUAUAGCUACAUGACGCGUAAUUAAACACAGGUUGUAACUUUGGUUCAUUUGAAAAAGCUUGAGUGAGACGUGAAAUAAAACUGUGUAUUAGUAUCAAAACAUUAGGUACGAUGUCAAUAUUUAGGACGACGAGAACGAACAUACAAAUCAACUUCCGCAUAAAGCUUGAAUAAAUUCCGACUUACAACAAUAGUGGUAAAAGUUCAAAAACUCAAGUGCUUAAAAGAUUUAUCGUAUAUAUCAUCAUGAUCAUUGUUGUGGAAUACACUAUUACAUAAUGUUCCUAUAAUGUGUACGAUAUGUUUACAUAUUCAUAAUCUAUGUUCGUGCACAUAAAAUAUCCAAGAUGGCGAUCGAGAGAGCUGCAUCAUCACUACAUUCGUGCAUUCAUCAGUUCAAAAGGAAUAAUAUGCACGAACGAAUGCUUAAAUAAAAUUUACCUAGUUCCUUGCUUACACAUAUUCAAACAUUGUAUCGGUAUAAAAGUCCGAAUAUCUAAUAAAAAGUUUAUAAAAUCUCAAAAUAAAAAUCUUGUUUACAAAACUAUCGAUCUGUAGAUAAGCAAGAAAGUGUAAUAAGAUACAUAGUGAAGAAACUAACCAAUGGGCAUCCAGUGAAAAGAGCGUAAUGCAGGGGUUCCUCAAAGGAUUAUGAAAAUAAUCAAAAAGAAAUGAAUUAAUG
rnacentral:lncRNA from 1 species